rnacentral:lncRNA from 1 species
AUUCAGCUCCAUACCCUACUGAGAAUAUUAAAGAAGACAAUCAUACCCUGAAGGCUAUGGAUAGCACUAGUGUCUGGGGAACACCUUUCCAAGAACUCUGAUAUGGAGCAGGAGACAACGGCAGCCCUGGGUCAAGCUUGUCUGAGCCCCCACGUGUGAGCCUAUCCUGUAUCCCUCUGCUUGAGCUUGGAAGACAGGACCAGAACUCAAAGUCGAAGCUGACUCUUCUACAAGGUAGAAGGUUGCUUGCCCUUUGAGUAACACUUGAGGGGUGGUUAUAGAUGACAAGUGAGGUUCUG